GAGUUUGAUCAUGGACUCAGAACGAACGCUGGCGGCGCGCCUAAUACAUGCAAGUCGAGCGAGAAGGUGUAGCAAUACACUUGUAAAGCGGCGAACGGGUGAGGAAUGCAUGGGUAACCUACCCUCGAGUGGGAAUAACUAGCCGAAAGGUUAGCUAAUACCGCAUACGUUUCCGGAACUUCGGUUUCGGAAAGAAAGCAAUACCGUGGGUAUUGCGCUCCUGGAUGGGCUCAUGUCCUAUCAGCUUGUUGGUGAGGUAACGGCUCACCAAGGCUUCGACGGGUAGCUGGUCUGAGAGGACGAUCAGCCACACUGGCACUGCGACACGGGCCGGACUCCUACGGGAGGCAGCAGUAAGGAAUAUUGCGCAAUGGACGAAAGUCUGACGCAGCGACGCCGCGUGGGGGAUGAAGGUCUUCGGAUUGUAAACCCCUUUCGGGAGGGAAGAUGGAGUGGGUAACCACUUGGACGGUACCUCCAGAAGCAGCCACGGCUAACUUCGUG
rnacentral:rRNA from 1 species